rnacentral:lncRNA from 1 species
GCCCCAUGAGCCUGCCUCAGUUUCAAAACCCAAAAAAAGCACCGAUGAGUCAAGGUGGAUUUUCCAUGGUUUUCAGAGUUCAACAAACUGAUCAGAAGAAUCUCAAGAACAAUCCCAGUGAAGGCCUUACAUGCAUCUCUGAUUCUUUUUGUCUUUUGACAGUCCACUCUCUUUUCUCAAAUUGUUUGGACGUUUUCCAGAUUAGGAUGAAGGCUAAAAAGUAAUCCCUUUGGAUGCCGACAGUUCCCACAGUAAGGAGUAAGGAGACAAGGUGGUACAAAUCCAGUGAAGGAAGCUGUUGUUUAAGUCAAGUCAUAGACACUGCUGCAAAUUAAAACAGUUAUUUAGUUCUUCAGUUCAAACCAAGUCCCUUCGGAAACAGGCAAUGGGAGCUGAGAGAUCUUUUGAAGCAAGUGGCACACAUUUCUUUAUUUCUUUUGUGAAAUUAGGAGUUUACAAGCUUCUUUGCCAAGGAAACUGAACCUGCAGUAUAAGGAGCCUUAUCAUCUACAAGUGUACAGAUAUUCCUUAUGCCAUGAUUUGUAAUUCAGUCUUAAUCAGGCUAGGAGAAAAGGAAGAAAACUAGCUGGAGAAAGAGGUAAGUAAAUUAAAUCUGGUAGCGGAUCUCUCCUAUUCCACAUGAAUGCUUCCUAAGGAACUAAUCUUCCUCUGUAAAUAAUCCCUUAAGAGUUUUCCUGCACAUUAUGGGACUUUCUUCUGCCCUGCAUCCCACUUACUCUUGAAAAACUCUCAAUGAGUGCAGUCAAAACCCCAUUCUUUUCUGUUUCUCUAGUAUGUAAAUAAUAAGCUUUUACUUCCUUGAGGCCAGGGAAGAAUUGUAACAGAUGGAGCAACAUAAAACAUUAAAAAACAGUAUUUAAACACGAUCCUUAAACAUUAAGGAUUUGUUACAAGUUUCCAGAUCCUCAUCCUGAUCAGUUUGCUACAAAUCUCACACUCAUUGCUGAUCUUUCUUAUAGCAUCUUUUUACAAGGCUUGACCUUUCUCAAAGCCCUUGAAUGACUGAGACAAGUCUGCUCCCUUUGUCUGUUGGUUCUGGUAAAAGGUUUUCCUAACAAAUCUCUCUUGCUUCAGUUCAACCGUGCAACCUCUUUGCCUAUAUGCCAGAUGAAAAGGGAAGGAAUAUUUUAAGUAGCAUGAGGGAAGAAGUGCCAGGAAUUUCUUUAGGUGCAGUGCACCUGAUUAAAUAUGUAGCAUUUACAAGAAGAGCAAUACCUCUUCCCAAUUUCCCUCUUCUGCUCCCUUUGCAAGAUUAAUGUUCUUAGAACGGCGUUAACUUACUUUGAACACUACAGCAAAUACCAAAGUAAACUAUGCUUUGGUCAGAGUUGCUGGUUACCAAUAUAUUUUUGGGACAAAUUCUAUUUAAUUUUCUAUUACUUGUUUCAGCAAAGAAAGUGGAGAUAUGCCAGUGUAAUUUGUUCCAGUCACAAAGUUACAAGGCAUUGUUAAAGAAGGAUCAAGCUGUUACGCAAAAAAAGACC